UACGAAGGGGGCUAGCGUUGUUCGGAAUUACUGGGCGUAAAGCGCGCGCAGGCGGUCUUCCAAGUCAGUGGUGAAAGCCUGGAGCUCAACUCCAGAACUGCCAUUGAAACUGUUAGACUUGAGUACGAGAGAGGUGAGUGGAAUUCCCAGUGUAGAGGUGAAAUUCGUAGAUAUUGGGAAGAACACCGGUGGCGAAGGCGGCUCACUGGCUCGGUAACUGACGCUCAGGCGCGACAGCGUGGGGAUCGAAACAGG
rnacentral:rRNA from 1 species